rnacentral:rRNA from 1 species
GAACUGAAGAGUUUGAUCAUGGCUCAGAUUGAACGCUGGCGGCAGGCCUAACACAUGCAAGUCGAGCGGAUGAAGGGAGCUUGCUCCUGGAUUCAGCGGCGGACGGGUGAGUAAUGCC